CUUCUCUCCUUCCCUCCACCUUCACCUCAGCCUUCACUGACAAAUUAAGAUUAAUGGCAGAGAUAAAUAAGGAACCUACACCUUUCAGCAUCACACGGUCAGACAUCACUUGGUCUUCUUUAUUGAAGCAACAUUUUGAGUUCCAAUUAAAAUUGUAGUCCAAAGAGUGCCGCCCACUCUGAUUGGAAAAAAAUAAUACAACUGAGUAUAAAUGUGCAGAAGUAAAUAUUUAACACUCCAGUGCAAAGGUCUUAGGCAAACAGCUUAUGCAAAAUUGUGAUGUCAUGACUGUCAGAUUCUGUGAUCUUUGGCAUUUGAAUGAAAUAAUGUGACUGAAAGUUGGUCAUUAGCAAACCUCCAAAGAGUUAUUGAUCUCUUUUUUUACUGCAGCCAGUUUCAGCACGAGAUAGUAGACCAACGCAGGUGUCAUCGAUGACAUUAAUGUUCAAAUGUACAUUCAGCCCAUAGAUGCACUUUUCUCUGAAGAUUUAUAUAAUUUUAUUUUAAUACUGCAUUCAUAUUUUCUGGUUGUAUAUUACUAAAGAGAUUGAGAAAUAAUUACAUAUGUUCAUUAUUGCAUUGGGAAAAUCUUUAGUGACCUAAAGACUAAAACUCAGUACUGUGAAUCAGCAGUACUCAAAAUCAAAAACUAAUUAAAAUGUCACAUUUGUCACACAUGUACAAGUCGACCCUAUAUGGCACCAUGACGAUUUCCCAUUUUCAUCCGCAUUUGUUUUACUCUUAUGAGUUAUUUAAGUCUGAGAAAUAAUUUGAGAAUUGUGUGAAUCUAAAAAAAAAUCUGUUGCCAGGGGUGUCAACACACAUCUUUACAGAGCCAUAAAUGCUACACUUUGAAGGACUCACACCUAUCUCACUGCAUCAGUGAAUGCAGAAGGUCACUUGGUAGUUAUAAAGACAUCAAAUAAAAAGCCUUUGGGGCAUAAUCAGUGCUUUCAGGUUUCUUCUGAAGGUUUUUCUGCAUGCUUCUGUUGUCUUGGCAUAAUAACUCAUAAAUGUUCUUCUGAUUUUCUUAGGUGUCUGCCACCAGAAGUUGGCGAUGUGAGAGGUUUUAAUGGAGAGGGUCCUCGCGGCUGAAUAUGUGCCCCUCUGCCCCGCAGCUGGAGGUGUCUGUUUCACAGGCCUCUGUAAUGCGGGACCAGGGAGGAUAAGGUUUCACAGGUCCCUUGAAGUGUGAGACUUGAAGGAAGAGUGGUUCUUUUGAAGGCAACUAGAAGGCGUUUCGGGGCUGAGAGGUGCUGGAAAGGGCAUGUCCAAACAGACUUUAAGCCCUGAGUGAUGGGACACGGGAAGCGGUAACAGGACACCUCGCCCCUGCUCUCAUGUCAACACAGUCAUGUGAAUCACAACUGUGAGAGCGUCUGAAGAUCCACGGGGACAAUAGAGGCCGACUUUCCACAGGAUCACAAAAGCUUUGUUUCAAUCACUGUAUUUGUCUUCAUUGCAUGUUUUUUUUUUUUUUGAAAUCCUUUGAAAAGGAUUAAACUGAUCUGUGAUAAAUCUUUAUCUCUCAUCAGGACUUUUCCGGCUUUAUCCCACACUGAAGUGGAUACAAUUAAACGUAUCAGUGAAGUUUAAAGGGCUCAAUUUAAGCACGGUUUCUAUCAUGUGCCAUGGACUGAUGAGGGUAAGUAAAGAAGUUUGUGUCUGCUUAGGGUUCUGCAGUAGCCAAAGCGGCGCUAAAUGAGUCAGAUAUUAAUAUCUGAUCAAUACAUGAAAUGAGCUAAAAGUAUUCCAAUUCCAAAAAUUUCAAGUGUUUAUUGUCAUGUGUACGGUAAGAAAGCAUGUUUCUCUUUGCUGUCCACGACAAUGCCAAAUUAACAAAAGUCAAAAGAAAUAGAUCGGAAUUGUAAAAAGGACACACAGUAUCACUAGCAUGUAAUAAUCAAUCACAUUUGCAAAAUUAGCUGAUAAUGCUGCUUAAAUAGUCACCUAUAGGUAAUGUUAAAACACUGAAACUGUAAUAAAAAAUAUAAAUGGACAAAACUAAAGAUAAGUCCAUGGUCGAAACAUCCAAUCUGCCUGUGUGAGAACUUUAAAGCAACAACACCUACAAUAAUAUAAUUAAAUGUCAUUUUAUAGUGCACUAUGUAUUUUGUUUUAAAUAACAUCCUAUUGUCAUCAGUAUCAAGUGUUAUGAAGAGCCAUGUUUAGUUCAGCUGACAGUUUCAGAAAGGUUUCAUUUGAUGGCUGGGGGAAAUAUGGAUGGGAAUACAAUGAAAUACACAUAACAGUACUAAUAAAGAAAAAUGAACUGUG